rnacentral:lncRNA from 13 species
CCCCCUCACCUGCGCGAAGGUGAACUCGUGACCUCGUCAUCCAUCCGAGUUGCACGCUCAACUAUGUGCGCGUGGACGUGAACCGCGGGAAGUCCGGUAACGAACAGAGACCCUCUUCUACUCUCCGGUCUGUCCUGUGAAAUGUUCCGUUAACCUCCGGGUGGAUGAGCUCUGAGAUGAACGGUCCACGUAGAGUAAUACUGGUCCUUCUUUCGUGGUGUUCAGUUCUCCAGCUGCUGACAGCACACGGUGAGUCUCCCAGCGACACACGCGCAUCAUAUCAAAAUGCAUAACUUAGAUGAGUACUAUAACCUUUACUGUUUCAACAUAAACGUUUGACGUUCUAAGAGUGAUUCCAAAAAUGUCAAAGAGAGAGCAGAAAACUAGCACCAGUGUUGUAUGCGCGAGACAUUUUUGAAAAGUUCAUAUUUUGCUGUUUUAACCUUAGGAAAUAUCGGAUGAUAGGCAAAUUGUACUGUUCACGUUUGAAAUGUGGGUUUCAGCCCCCCGCAGUGACAUCGUUAUGGCCUUAGGGAAUUAUGAUUGACAAAUGUUUUCCUUUGGAUAGGAAUACAUUAGAGCUGAUACUGUCUUUUAAAUCAUUCAGAGGUGUAGCCUAAAUUGUUGCUGUUCAAUAAUGUGCUCCAGCGACCCUAAAUUCGAACGUUUAAAUUAAUACAUUUGAUAUGUUUUGUCGACUUGUGGUAUAUAUGUGAUGAUAUUUUAUGUGUUGUGAUAGUGCAAUGAAGUAAUACUUUUGAUGGUGUGUGAGGUUUUACUGAUGUUUUUUUGUUGUGUUCAGCAGCUCAGAGCCAACUGACAGAGACAGACAGUAGACUACAGAGGUAAGAGAGGAGAGGAAGCGAGAAACAUUCAUAAUCUCAGGGGAUUCAUUAAUUCAAUGUCAUGGCUAAACUGAUGCAUGUGUGUGUUUGGUUUGGAUGUAUUCAAGUGGUCAAAAGUGCACUUAACUUCAGUUUGCAUGUUUCUCCUCAUAAUGAAUGUAUAUCUCCCUGUGCUGUGUGUGUGUCUGUGUGUGUGUGUGUCUGUGUGUAUGUGUGUGUGUGUCUGUGUGUGUGUGCAUGUGUACGUGCGUGCAGGAGGGCUAAUGCACUGCGGAGGAAACGGGAUCUCCUAGGGGAGGAGACAUUCAGUCCACUUCUCUCUGAAGCAACUCUCCCUCGCAGUGUUCUACACAAUUACACCGCCCGCGAUGCCUCCUCAGGUACACACACACACACACACACACACACACACACACACACACACACACACACACACACACACACACACACACACACACACACACACACACACACACACACACAUACACACAGGGCCUAAAGUGCCUUGCCUUCAGAAAGUAUUCACACCCCUUGAAUU